rnacentral:rRNA from 1 species
AGUGAACGCUGGCGGUAGGCCUAACACAUGCAAGUCGAACGGCAGCACAGUAAGAGCUUGCUCUUACGGGUGGCGAGUGGCGGACGGGUGAGGAAUACAUCGGAAUCUACUUUUUCGUGGGGGAUAACGUAGGGAAACUUACGCUAAUACCGCAUACGACCUACGGGUGAAAGCAGGGGAUCUUCGGACCUUGCGCGAUUGAAUGAGCCGAUGUCGGAUUAGCUAGUUGGCGGGGUAAAGGCCCACCAAGGCGACGAUCCGUAGCUGGUCUGAGAGGAUGAAUCGCCCCACUGGAACCGAGACCAGGUCCCAGCCCCUACGGGAGGCAGGAGGUGGGAAUUUUGGGCCAAUGGGGGAAGCCCUGUCCAGCCAAUCCGGGGUGGGUGAGAAGGCCUUCCGGUUGGUAAGCCCUUUUUUUGGGAAAGAAAAGCCGCAGGGUUAUACCCCGCUGUUCUUACGGUACCCAAAGAAUAAGCCACGGCUAACUUCGGU